GGAAUUUUGCGCAAUGGGCGAAAGCCUGACGCAGCAACGCCGCGUGAGUGAUGAAGGCCCUCGGGUCGUAAAGCUCUGUCAGAGGGGAAGAACCACCUGUCGGUUAAUAUCCGGCAGGCCUGACGGUACCCGCCACGGAAGCACCGGCUAACCCCGUGCCAGCCGCCGCGGUACUACGGAGGGUGCAAGCGUUGUUCGGAAUUAUUGGGCGUAAAGCGCGUGUAGGCGGCUGUUUAAGUCUGAUGUGAAAGCCCCGGGCUCAACCCGGGAAGUGCAUUGGAAACUGGACAGCUUGAGUACGGGAGAGGGUAGUGGAAUUCCGAGUGUAGGGGUGAAAUCCGUAGAUAUUCGGAGGAACACCGGUGGCGAAGGCGGCUACCUGGACCGAUACUGACGCUGAGACGCGAAAGCGUGGGGAGCAAAC
rnacentral:rRNA from 1 species